rnacentral:misc_RNA from 1 species
GAUGAAGAACGUAGCGAAAUGCGAUAAGUAGUGUGAAUUGCAGAAUUCAGUGAAUCAUCGAAUCUUUGAACGCACAUUGCGCCCCUUGGUAUCCCGAGGGGCAUGCCUGUUCGAGCGUCAUUUCACCACUCAAGCCUGGCUUGGUGUUGGGCGACGUCCUCUUUGGGGACGCGCCUCGAAACGCUCGGCGGCGUGGCACCGGCUUUAAGCGUAGCAGAAACUUUCGCUUUGGAAGUCGGGGCCCCGUCUGCCGGAAGACCUGCUCGCAAGGUUGACCUCGGAUCAGGCAGGGAUACCCGCUGAACUUAAGCAUAUCAAUAAGCGGAGGA